rnacentral:tRNA from 1 species
GGGGGUAUAAGCUUAAUUGGCAAACUGCAGCUCUCCAAAAGCUGACUUCCAAGUUCGAAUCUUGGUACCCCCG